ACCCUAACUCAUUUACUUAUUGUCCCUUUCCUUUUCUCCGUCAAAUUCUCUCAAUUUCAACUGUGUGCCGCAAACCGCUUCUACCCUCCUCACAGGGACCCCUGCUUCUUUUCCUACCACUGGUCACGUUGGGCUCUAUAGAGGUUCUAGCUAGUGACUUUUGGAGCACACAGACACAGUGGAAAAGGCUUAAGUUCAUAUAUAGACCAGCAAGUGUCUCUCUACCUGAUUCGCUCAAAAGAAGAAAAAAAAAACAAUAAUGGCAGAAGAUCAGAAAAAAACAAUGGCAGAAGAACCGGUAUAUAGAGCCGGAUUAGCUAUCGUGACAGAAAGCAGUGAGGGCAGGUCGAAAGAAGAAAACCAAAAAACUAUAAGGGCAGAAGAACCGGUAUAUAGAACUGGAUAUGCUAUCGUGACAGAAAGCAGUAAGGGCAAUUCAAGCCAAAAAUCUCUGAAUGAAUCGAGUAAGGUGGAGACUCCCAAAGACAAGUACAGUUGGACCCCCAAAGACAAGUACAGUUGGAUGUUCAAGUAAUUUUACCAAGCAGCAUAUAAGGCAGAAAAGUUCUUUGACAAAAAUAGAGGAUGGUCUAAAUUUACAGCCUUAUGUUUUUUAAUGGUCUCUCUCUUGGGGAUUAGAUUGUAAUGGAUUUCAUUUUACUUUGAUUAAUUUCUUAGCAGUAUUUUGAUGGAUCUAACUAGUUGUGACUUUUUUGUUCGAUGGAUCUAAACCGUUUUAUUUAUUGGUAUGAGACUUGUGGUUUA